GAGUUAUCUUUUAGCAGAAAGGGAAUUAAUGCAGAAUAGAGUGAGGCAGGGAGAGUAAAUAAUGGGUUUUGUUGAAUGCAAGAGGAUUUUUUGUUUCUCACUGGAUUAAAAAAAAUUCAGGGUUGCUCUGUUUUGGUUCAGUGCAGCUCAGCUCACAGCAAACACUCCUGGAUUCCUUGCACUGGUUCCAAAUUGAGAAGUAUUGGACACAUUGCUCAGACCAUCCCAGGCAGCAUCUCAUCUCUGCCACAAGGAGAAGCAAUCAAUGGAGAACAAUUCCAUUGGCUGUUACAAUGCAGAGGCAUUUUUUUAAAAGGAUCCAAGGAGGGUUUGGAGAACCAGAGGGAUUUUAAACUAAGUGAGGAAGUGGAUCAGCCAGGAACCACUGGUGUGCACGGAGCAUCUGAGGCACAGGGUUCAAUAAAAAGGGGAGGAAGGAUGAGAACGCAGAACACAGACUUGGCAAAGCUUUAAACUUGACUCUGCCUGAUCCUACAGAUGCGGCAAGUCCCCUGAAGAGCUGACAGCAGACAUGAGCUCAAGCAGCAGAGGUUUCUGGCUGGGUAUGAGGAAAAACCCUUCCCCAGGAGAGCUGUUCUGCAGAGCACAAAGAGCUUCUGCCUCCUCUCCAUCCCUGCAUUUCCCAUCUCUGGACUGGAGAAACCUCUGAGCACCUGGUGUGGCUUCAGAGCCGCCCCUGCUCUGAGCUUUUACGAUGCUGCGGUGGAGGCAGGUGCAGACACUCACCGAGGAGAAGCUGCAGAGAGGGAGCUCUGGCCAUUUGUGCAGUUGAAAUGGGUAAUUGGAGAGCUGCUGGAGGCCGUGCACAGCUGCUGGCAGCUCCUCCAGGGCACAGCUCGGCCUUCAGCAACAGAUCUCCUGUUCCCAGUGCUGCCUUGUUUGGGAGUUGUGAGUAGUGAUGAAAUCCUGUCCUUGAGCUCCCAUCCCUCUGCUCUCAGCAUCAACCUGAGCUUAUGGUGAACUGGUUCUGGCAGCUGCCUGAGGUGAGGGAGAAACGCAGCUUUGGAAGAGGGAAGGAGGAUGAAAACCAUGGGAUGGAGGUUUGGUAGCAAAGACUCAGCUCUGGGGAGCAGGAGGGAGCACAAAUAUUCUCAUUUACUGGGUGUUACUGUCCCCGCCAUGAGGAGGUUCCAGAGUUUCUGCCUUAAUAAAUCAGUUCUGCUGGAUAUUUGUUACUCCGGGAAUUCCACAGCUGAUGUGUUUGAAACGAUACAAUUUUUGUUAUUUAAUGCAUGUGCAUUGCUCCACAGCACAGCCUGCUGUCCAUCCUUAUGGACUGGUGACUUUAGAGGAGAAAACGCAGGGAAGUUAUUCACUGGGACCUGCAGAUCUCUGGGAGGCAUUGCUGGAGAGAAAUACGUCCUGAGAGGUGAAGUUUGGGCAAAUUCCUGUUCAGUAGUAGCUGCUGAGCCUUUUGUCUGGACUUUUUUCAUGCUAUUUCCAGAGCGUGUCAGCUAAAUCCACGAAGGCCAGAAGGAGACAGAGCAGUCCUGCCACUUUAUUUGAAUUAAGGGAGAUUAAAUUAAGAGCUCCUCUUGUGAUAUAUAUUUCUUUUUUCUUUACAAGCCCUAGUUAUUAUUAACUUAACCCUUCUGAGCAACCUGGAACAUCUGAAACACUCCCUCUGGACUGUUCCAAGCCUGUGAGAAAUUACAAGCAUGUGAGAAAGGCAACCAAGUUCUUUGGUAUCUGAGGAGUUGAGCUCUGUUCACCAUGAAUAAAAUUGCCAAAUUAAUUUCAUAUCUGCAUUUAAAGCAUUCGGACACUCCAGUGACUCUAUGGUCCCUCAGGGUAAAGAUUGUUGUGACUCUGAUUUCCACUGUUUUCUAUGGAAAAUCGGGCCCAAUUUUGGCCCAAUUUUCCCAGAUGGUGGAAAUGCUGACUUGGAUGAGUCUCACACUAAUUGAGCCCCCAGACAAAAUAAUUCAAAGCAUCUGUGAUUAGAAUUUGCUGCUGGGAGAAGCACUGGCUUUGCAAUCGUAGUUCUCGGGGAAUCGUCAUCGUUGGCUGAAGUGGUGAAAUGAGAAGUGAAUAAGGUUAAAAUUCCAGCAGUAACCAGACCUCCUCUUGGAAAAAACCAGGCUUUGUUACAGCCCUGGGAAAUGUCAGUAAUGGGGGAUGUAAAUGGUGAGUGCUGAGGUGGAGCUCAGGUGGCACCGCACAGAGUGGAGAAAAUCUCAGGGUAUUUCAACAGUGGAGAAAAAUCAAAGCUGUAGGAGAAAAGAAAUCCAAACUGGGAACAUCCUGACAGUGUGAUUCAUCUAUUCCAAUCAAUCCAUUUAACUGUCUUUCCUCUUAUUUAUGGAGGUGCUCCCGGAGAUUUAUAGUGUUCAUCUGAGAUUGCAAAGCUUCAUCACAGAAACCAGAGACAAAAGAGAGGGAGAAAAUAAAGAGAGAAAAAAAAAAGAGAUUCCCUGGAGAGGUUCUUAUAAAAUCUUACUCUGUAAACACCCUUAGGUUUGGGAUUUAGAUAAAACAAAGACAUGAGAGCACAAAGGGGAUAUGACAAAACGAAGGAAGGAACAGCAGGAAAACAACCCAAAAGUGAUAAAGAGGGAAAAUGUGAAGAGAGGGUUUGCUGGAUGUGGGAGGGCCAGGGCUGUACAGAGUUUCUUGAAGGGAACUGAAAUAGGAAAUGUGCUUUUUCAGAGACAGACAGUGCUAAAACAGAGACCUCUGAGCCCAGCCACUUU